CUGGCAAAAAACCCUUUCAGUUUCCUCACUGCAACACUGAAGGGUUUAAGCCACGUUAAGAUAACUAUCGUUUUAGUUUUGAUGGAGGAAAUAUCCCCAAACUUUCCUCCUGUGUCCCUUCUGAUUCGGUUUCUCUGCAGGUUUCGUGCAGAACUCACCCUGGUUGCCGUCCACAGCUGCUACAACCUUCAGCACAACUUCAUGGCAACAGGACGUUUCCUGGGAAACCUGUCCUCUGAUUGGUCUGUUGUGGAGCGUGUGAAACCCCUUCCGGAACAGCGCGCGAGAUACAAGGGACUGGCGCGAGAGUGAUCGGAAAAUAAAGCUGAGCUCAGAGAAA